CCUACGGGUGAGCAGCAGUGGGGAAUAUUGGACAAUGGGCGAAAGCCUGAUCCAGCCAUGCCGCGUGUGUGAAGAAGGCCUUCGGGUUGUAAAGCACUUUCAGUGGGGAAGAAAGCCUUGGGGCUAAUACCCUCGAGGAAGGACAUCACCCACAGAAGAAGCACCGGCUAACUCCGUGCCAGCAGCCGCGGUAAUACGGAGGGUGCGAGCGUUAAUCGGAAUUACUGGGCGUAAAGCGCGCGUAGGCGGUCUGAUAAGCCGGUUGUGAAAGCCCCGGGCUCAACCUGGGAACGGCAUCCGGAACUGUCAGGCUAGAGUGCAGGAGAGGAAGGUAGAAUUCCCGGUGUAGCGGUGAAAUGCGUAGAGAUCGGGAGGAAUACCAGUGGCGAAGGCGGCCUUCUGGACUGACACUGACGCUGAGGUGCGAAAGCGUGGGUAGCAAACAGGAUUAGAUACCCGAGUAGUC
rnacentral:rRNA from 1 species